rnacentral:rRNA from 1 species
GAUAAACGCUGGCGGCGCACAUAAGACAUGCAAGUCGAACGGACUUAACUCAUUCUUUUAGAUUGAGAGCGGUUAGUGGCGGACUGGUGAGUAACACGUAAGCAACCUGCCUAUCGGAGGGGAAUAACAGUGAGAAAUCAUUGCUAAUACCGCAUAAGCUAGUAGCAUCGCAUGAUGUAGUUAGAAAAGGAGUAAUCCGCUGAUAGAUGGGCUUGCGUCUGAUUAGCUAGUUGGUGGGGCAACGGCCUACCAAGGCGACGAUCAGUAGCCGGACUGAGAGGUUGAACGGCCACAUUGGGACUGAGAUACGGCCCAGACUCCUACGGGAGGCAGCAGUCGGGAAUAUUGCGCAAUGGAGGAAACUCUGACGCAGUGACGCCGCGUAUAGGAAGAAGGUUUUCGGAUUGUAAACUAUUGUCGUGAGGGAAGAAAUUGACAGUACCUCAGGAGGAAGCUCCGGCUAACUAUGUGCCAGCAGCCGCCGUAA